rnacentral:rRNA from 1 species
UACGUAGGGUGCGAGCGUUAAUCGGAAUUACUGGGCAUAAAGCGUGCGCAGGCGGUCUGUUAAGACAGAUGUGAAAUCCCCGGGCUUAACCUGGGAACUGCAUUUGUGACUGGCAGGCUAGAGUAUGGCAGAGGGAUGCAGAAUUCCAGGUGUAGCGGUGAAAUGCGUAGAGAUGUGGAGGAACACCAAUGGCGAAGGCAGCCUUCUGGGCCAACACUGACGCUCAUGCACGAAAGCGUGGGGAGCAAACAGG